rnacentral:rRNA from 1 species
UCAAGAAACUUCCACAAUGGGCGAAAGCCUGAUGGAGCGACGUCGCGUGAUGGACGAAGUGCUUCGGCACGUAAACAUCUUUUAUGUGGGAUGAAAUUAUUGACAGUACCACAUGAAUAAGGGGCUCCUAACUCUGUGCCAGCAGGAGCGGUAAUACAGAGGCCCCAAGCGUUAUCCGGAAUCACUGGGCGUAAAGGGUGUCGAGGCGGUUGUAUUAGUCGUUCGUAAAAUCUACGAGCUUAACUUGUAGGCGGCGAACGAAACGGUACGACUUGAGGUUUGGAGAGGUGCGUGGAACUCACGGUGUAGGGGUGAAAUCCGUUGAUAUCGUGGGGAACACCAAAGGCGAAGGCAGCGCACUGGGCCAAAAUCUGACGCUCACACACGAAGGCUAGGGUAGCGAAGAGGAUUAGAUACCCCGGUAGUCCCUGAGCGGGCUGGCAAGGCGCAU